rnacentral:rRNA from 1 species
CGUAACUAUAACGGUCCUAAGGUAGCGAAAUUCCUUGUCGGGUAAGUUCCGACCCGCACGAAAGGCGUAACGAUUUGGGCACUGUCUCAACAACAGACUCGGUGAAAUUGUAAUACCGGUGAAGAUGCCGGUUACCUGCGACAGGACGGAAAGACCCCAUGGAGCUUUACUGUAGCUUGACAUUGAGUCUCGGUGCUACAUGUACAGGAUAGGUGGGAGACUAUGAAGCAUGGACGUCAGUCUGUGUGGAGUCAUCCUUGGGAUACCACCCUUGUAGUACUGGGAUUCUAACCAGAGGCCAUGAAUCUGGUCUUGGGACACUGUCAGGUGGACAGUUUGACUGGGGCGGUCGCCUCCCAAAAAGUAACGGAGGCGCUCAAAGGUUCUCUCAGUACGGUCGGAAAUCGUACGAAGAGUGUAAAGGCAAAAGAGAGCUUGAUUGCAAGACAUACAGGUCGAGCAAGGACGAAAGUCGGACUUAGUGAUCCGGUGGUUCCGCAUGGAAGGGCCAUCGCUCAACGGAUAAAAGCUACCCUGGGGAUAACAGGCUGAUCUCCCCCAAGAGUCCACAUCGACGGGGAGGUUUGGCACCUCGAUGUCGGCUCAUCACAUCCUGGGGCUGUAGUAGGUCCCAAGGGUUGGGCUGUUCGCCCAUUAAAGUGGUACGCGAGCUGGGUUCAGAACGUCGUGAGACAGUUCGGUCCCUAUCCGUCGCAGGCGUAGGAAAUUUGAGGAGACCUGUCCUUAGUACGAGAGGACCGGGAUGGACGUACCGCUGGUGUACCAGUUGUUCUGCCAAGGGCAUGGCUGGGUAGCUAAGUACGGAAAGGAUAAGCGCUGAAAGCAUCUAAGCGCGAAGCCCACUUCAAGAUAAGAUUUCCCACCGCAAGGUUAAGAUCCCAGGAAGACUACCUGGUUGAUAGGUCAGAGGUGUAAGUGUAGUAAUAUAUUUAGCUUACUGAUACUAAUAGAUCGAGGACUUGACCAA